UACGGAGGGUGCAAGCGUUAUCCGGAUUCACUGGGUUUAAAGGGUGCGUAGGCGGGCCGGUAAGUCAGUGGUGAAAUCUCCGAGCUUAACUCGGAAACUGCCAUUGAUACUAUUUGUCUUGAAUAUUGUGGAGGUAAGCGGAAUAUGUCAUGUAGCGGUGAAAUGCUUAGAUAUGACAUAGAACACCAAUUGCGAAGGCAGCUUACUACACAAUGAUUGACGCUGAGGCACGAAAGCGUGGGGAGCAAACAGG
rnacentral:rRNA from 1 species